rnacentral:rRNA from 1 species
AUGGUUUGGCACCUCGAUGUCGGCUCGUCGCAUCCUGGGGCUGGAGUCGGUCCCAAGGGUUGGGCUGUUCGCCCAUUAAAGCGGUACGCGAGCUGGGUUUAGAACGUCGUGAGACAGUUCGGUCCCUAUCCGCUGUGCGCGUAGGAAUAUUGAGAAGGGCUGUCCCUAGUACGAGAGGACCGGGACGGACGAACCUCUGGUGUGCCAGUUGUUCUGCCAAGGGCAUGGCUGGUUGGCUACGUUCGGGAGGGAUAACCGCUGAAAGCAUCUAAGCGGGAAGCCUGCUUCGAGAUGAGUAUUCCCACCUCCUUGAGAGGGUAAGGCUCCCAGUAGACGACUGGGUUGAUAGGCCGGAUAUGGAAGCCCUGUAAGGGGUGGAGUUGACCGGUACUAAUAGGCCGAGGGCUUGUCCUC